rnacentral:rRNA from 1 species
UACGUAGGGUGUGAGCGUUAAUCGGAAUUACUGGGCGUAAAGCGUGCGCAGGCGGUUCGUUGUGUCGGCGGUGAAAGCCCCGGGCUUAACCUGGGAAUGGCCGUUGAAACUGGCGAACUGGAGUGUGGCAGAGGGGGGUGGAAUUCCGCGUGUAGCAGUGAAAUGCGUAGAGAUGUGGAGGAAUACCGAUGGCGAAGGCAGCCCCCUGGGCCAAUACUGACGCUCAUGCACGAAAGCGUGGGGAGCAAACAGG